UACAGAGGGUGCAAGCGUUAAUCGGAGUUACUGGGCGUAAAGGGCGCGUAGGUUGUUUAGUAAGUUGUUUGUGAAAUCCCCGGGCUUAACCUGGGAACUGCAAGCAAAACUGCUGGACUAGAGUACUGUAGAGGGUAGUGGAAUUUCCGGUGUAGCGGUGAAAUGCGUAGAUAUCGGGAGGAACACCUGUGGCGAAGGCGGCCCCCUGGUUGGAUACUGACGCUGAUACGCGAAAGCGUGGGGAGCAAACAGG
rnacentral:rRNA from 1 species